CCUUUAACCAGGCCUCUGGUCUCUGAGCCACAGGUCCCCUCUCUCCAGCUCCAGUCCACGUGGAAGCCUGGCCACUGAUCGGUGCAGUGUCCCCUCCAUUCGUGCCUGGCCUGGUCCUGUAAAUACUGGGGCCCUGACUCAGAGAAGACUCCGGGUAAAUAUUUACCAUUGGAAGAAUGAAUGGCUUCCUAAGUUUGUG
rnacentral:lncRNA from 1 species